rnacentral:rRNA from 1 species
UGGGGAAUUUUGGACAAUGGGCGCAAGCCUGAUCCAGCCAUGCCGCGUGCAGGAAGAAGCAUCUAUGGUGUGUAAACUGCUUUUGUACGGGAAGAAACACUCCUUCGUGAAGGAGCUUGACGGUACCGUAAGAAUAAGGAUCGGCUAACUCCGUGCCAGCAGCCGCGGUAAUACGGAGGAUCCAAGCGUUAUCCGGAAUCAUUGGGUUUAAAGGGUCCGUAGGCGGUUUAGUAAGUCAGUGGUGAAAGCCCAUCGCUCAACGAUGGAACGGCCAUUGAUACUGCUAGACUUGAAUUACAAGGAAGUAACUAGAAUAUGUAGUGUAGCGGUGAAAUGCUUAGAUAUCACAUGGAAUACCAAUUGCGAAGGCAGGUUACCAUGAUUUAACUGACGCUGAGGGACGAAAGCGUGGGGAGCGAACA